rnacentral:rRNA from 1 species
GAAUUUUGGACAAUGGGGGCAACCCUGAUCCAGCCAUCCCGCGUGUGCGAUGAAGGCCUUCGGGUUGUAAAGCACUUUUGGCAGGGAAGAAAAGGCUCUGGAUAAUACCUGGAGCUGCUGACGGUACCUGCAGAAUAAGCACCUGCUAACUAAUGGCCAGCCGCCGCGGUAAUACGUCGGGGGCAAGCGUUAAACGGAAUUACUGGGCGUAAAGCGUGCGCAGGCGGUUCGGCAAGAAGGAUGUGAAAGCCCAGGGCUUAACCUUGGAACUGCAUUCUUAACUGCCGGGCUAGAGUAUGUCAGAGGGGGGUAGAAUUCCGCGUGUAGCAGUGAAAUGCGUAGAGAUGCGGAGGAAUACCGAUGGCGAAGGCAGCCCCCUGGGAUAAUACUGACGCUCAUGCACGAAAGCGUGGGGAGCAAAC